UGGGAACCUCCGUAUGCCAUGGGAGCAGCCCUGGAAAAGGCAAAAAGACAAAAAACGAAGAAGAGGGAAGAACUGCUAUAGGCAGGCAUGAUGUCAAUAAUUUAGCAAUAUUUAACCAGCUAUAAUGGAAAAAAAAUAAUUUUAAAAAAUUAGCGAUAUUCUAGAAAGUAGGUGUGUAAACUUAAAAUGUCCAGGAGUCACUUAGUGUAAGGUCAACUUUAAGAGGCUUUGAGGACAUCAUUGAAUAAUGCAGUAAUCAGUGUUGCAAAAUGAUUCCUAGAUUUUAGCAUUAGAUCUAGGCUCCACAUUUUAUGACAUUUGGGAAGGGGAAGUGACUUGCCUCAGUCUGGUGGGUGUGAGGGGCUCAUCCUUGACUCUUUUUUACUCUUUUCCUCACUUUUUCCAUCCUUCCCACAUGCCAUCUCCAUCUAAUCCAUCACCUUAUCUUUUUGCCUCCAUUUUCUUCAAAUUUAUAUUCCCUUUUCCAUCUCAGUGUUCAGUGCCUUGUAUCGGACCUUUAGUACCUUUUGCCCGGAAUUCUUUCAUGGAUUCCUGACUCAUCUUUCUCCUUCCAUUUCUUAUCCUUACAUCUACAUACCGCUUAUCCAGCCAGUGGCGACAUCUGGCUGAAAUGCAAAUCUGAUGGUGACAUUCACCGACUUUAUUGCAACACUUUUCAUUGCCUUCAGGAUGAACUUUGAGCUCCUAUCCAGUUCUUUUCUACCACUCCUUAUGCUAUAAUGUUGGGGACUUGACACAUUGCCCCCUACUCCCUCCUCAUUCUCCCUUAACCUUUAGGAAUCACUUCAGACACCAUCCCCUUCAGGAAGCUCAGACUAAGACAGGACGUCUUUCACUGUCCAUUGAUGGAUUUUCAUUGCAUCCUAUUGUUGGAUUGACUUGCACUAUAAUUAUGUAUUUGGCUACCCUGUUUGAAUGUGAGGACUUUGACAGACUUUGUUUUAUUCGUCUUUGUACACCGCAGACCACAUUAGGUGCUCCAUUUUAGGGCAUAUUAGAUGUCCAAUCAAUGUGUGUUGAAUGCAUACACAGCUAUUAGAAAUAAAGCUACCUGAACACUAAUGGUCAGACAAGGGUUAUUCCUCUUAAACUCUUGGUUAGAGAAACUGCCCGUGCAUCAGAAUCACUUGGGAAGGUUUUAAAAAGCACAGAUUUCUUCUGGGCUUCACUCCUGCCCAAAUAAAUCAGAAUAUCUUUCUCAUAUUUUUAUGGGGUUUUCCUGGGUGAUUCUUACAAGUCAACCUACAAGCUAAUCUUAGACUGGAGUUUGUAAAUUGUUGCAGUGUUUCUUAUCAUAGCCUUAUCAUUAAUCUAAGAAGUCAAAGUAACAGAUAAUAACAGAUAAUAAAAUAAUAGAUUUUAGAAAGAUUUGCCUUCAAGAUGGUUAAAUUUGUUUUAGUUGUGUUAGUUAAAGGAGUAAAUGUUCAGCUCUCCAGAAAUCUUUACACAAAGUUCAUUCACUAGGAUUCUGGAGAGACUUCAAUUUUUAAUUUUUAUUUACAUUACUCAAAGUAUUUUUUCCUUUUCUAAUUUCUUUGAAAUGGAUUUUAUUUUUCAUAUUAGUUUUCUUUAUGUGGCCACUUACUGUCUUUUGCUCCUUUUUUCCAUUUAUAAUUAGGAAAACUCCAUUCCUUCAUGCCUCAAGUUUCCAUUUCUAAUGAAAUGCAUCUCUUCAGCUUUUGCUUGUGAAAGCUCUGGAUACCUCCUCAUUCCUCUGCUCUGUGGGCUGGUUGAGUCUCUGCAAUGUACCUAAACAUUUCCAUUUACAAGAGAAUGGGUCCUGCUUUCAUGUCAUCAUCACAUUGAGCCAACUGGUUUCUGUGGGUUGUUAGGGUGCUGUUGAGAAGAGGAACUGGUGUGGGUGGGAAUUUGGCUGACUCCACAGUUUUCCAUGUGCACCGUGUGCUCCUCAUGCUUGAGCUGGAAGCUGGUCUCCAUGGGCAGACCUGGGAGCAGGAAGACAGCCACUCUGUGGGUGGUUUUGAAGAAACCUCUUUCGGUUUUUUCGGUACCCAGCUGGUUUUAAGUUUCUGGAUCGUUGUGCUAAAACAACCUUCAAGUGUUGCCUUUGAUUUAGUAAGAUUUCAGGACCGUGUUAAAGAUGGCCCUUGGUUUGGAACCUAUAUUUUGAUACCUUUUACACGACAGUUUAUCUUCAGCUUUGGUUUUCCAGUAGAUACGUUUUAUGCACAUAUUUAUUAUUUCGGUUUUAAUUAUGUAAUUUGAUCUCCCAAGGAAAAUUUACACCAUUCUCACCCUAAUUGUGUGUUUGAGGGAAACAAAUCGGUAAUCAUUUUUGUUCAUAUUGUGUUUAGAGGGACUUAAGUUACAUUCUGGACGAAGGCAUGAAAUUUUUAAAUUUUUUCUAAAAUAACUUCCUAAAGUUUAUGGCUUUGGGUCACCAAGAAUAUAGACUAAUUUAACAUUUAUAUCUUCUGAUACUAUUUUUUCUUGUUGUUUUGCUGGCUAGCAACACAUACUUGCUUAGGAGAUCGUCCUUGUUGUCAGGUGCUUAAAAUCUAAUAGAGACUAUAAAGCAUUUACACAACUAAGAACAAGUGUUUUAGAGUUGAGAAAAUGUCAAAAAAAAUUUAGUAGAACAUCUAUAGGAUCUUCAAAGAUUUCUAUUCUGAUAAAGUAUCUUCAUUUUGUCUUGUUCUAGAUUCAUGUAAGGAGAAGAAGGUACUUAGAUGUAGAAACUGUAUGAUUGUUUGUUAACUGGUUACUGUAUAGUCCUGAGCAUAUAAAAUGGCACAGUUCUCAGCAAUUUUUAUGUUAAGUGUUGGUGAAGUGGUUCACUUAGGUUUGGUUUUAAAUGAAACAUCCUUUACUAAAUUUUGCUUGACUUUUUAAUUUAUCUCCAGGAAAAUCUGCAUUAAAAUCUUGCAUUUUAACUUAUAACAUUAGGUUUCAAGGUUGAAACAUUAAACAUGUCAUUAGUUCAGUUUAAAAAUUAAAUAAAAAAUCAGCUAGGUUUAAAAAUACUUUCUCCAAAGUAGUACAUAUUUAGGUAAUAUAAAGUAAUACCUUUUAAAGUGGCAGUGAGAGCAGCCUUAUGGUGUGCUAAUAUAUGUUCCCAAUGCUGAAAAAAAUUGACAGUUUUACAUAUAUUUAAAUUAUUUUUUAACAUAAAAAAUCUUGAUAGAAGUUCAUUUUAACUAUCACAUGUAAAAAUACAGAGUGAGGUUCACAGGUUGUCAUUUAAAAAAUUCCUUCAGGUGGAAUGAUAUCCCUCAUCAUUGUAGCUAUUUUGUAUUCAAGGACAUGGUCCAUUAUAAACCAUUUCUUAGAUAAUUGGUCUCAACAGACUUCAUAUUUUUAAUAUGUACUAACAAAUUUUGAAUAUACUUUUCCUCCCAUCAGAACCAAGAGCAUGACUAUUAUCACUUGUGACAAUGAGCAGUUAAGUGAGGAUGCAAGAGAUAUCUGUUAUGAAGUUAGGGAAUAUGAUAUUUUUAUAUAUGCCAGGGCUACACGUAGAAUGACAGCUAAGUUCAAAGCUGGGACAUUACUUGGUAAAAUCAUUAGAUUUAGUUCAUGGGUGAAGAGAUGAGGCUCUGCAGUCAGACUGGGUUUUAACCUUGAUUCUCUCAUUCACUAACAAUGUAACCUCAGUCAAGUUUCUAAGUUCUCAUUUCCUUGUCUGUAGAGGGGACUAAGGUACCUACAUCAUUGUGGUAAUUACACGAGAAAAUACAUGAUGUCCUUAACAUGGUGCUUGGCACACAAUAAACACUCUGUGAAAGUUAGUGAUAUGGUUAUCAAUAAUAAGACAUUUUAACAAUUUACACUUCAAAAUUACAGACCAGUUAUUUAUAUGAUAUAUCUAUAGAUAGAUGAUAGACUGUACGUUUGUAAGCUACGAGUGACUUUUUAUCAAGUUUCUUUGCUUUUUAAAAAUAUACUGUGAUUUUAAAUGUUUUUUUUCCUAAGCAGAAGGCUUAAAAAUCUUUUUACUUGGAAACAUUCUGAUAAAAACCCUUCUUUUACAAAAAAACAAAAAACAAAAAACUAACUUUAUUUUACAAUUGGAUUUAUAGGAUGGUAGAGCUGCACUUGAGAACAUGUCUUCCAUCUAUUAAUUUGCUGAUGAGGAGACAGAGUCCUGUAGAAUUUAAAGGACUUACUCUAGAUUAAAAAAAAAGGGGAAGGAAAAUCCAUGAAUUUGGUCAUUGUCUUUUAUGGUGGUAGACACGAACCCUUGUGGAAAGAGGAGAAAUGAGAUGAUCAUCUGGAUAAGAGAGGUCUGAUACAUUUUCAAAAUAAGCUUUACAAAUAUUUAGCAAUGACAUUUUCUUUUUAUAAAUCAUGGUUCUUUUGUCUUGGUGUAAUUAUUAGUGCUCCUUUCACCCUCAGAAGUAUCUCAUUUGAACAAUAUAUCAUAUCCUCUUCUAAUUUAGCUGUGUUUAUACAGGCCAGGCAAGAGUAGCAACCAUCUGGUAAUUUGUGGAUUGGGUAAAAAUCAACUUUUUUUUUUCCUUGUUCUAAAACUGGGAAAUGGUUGAAAUCACUGGACAGUUACUCAACAUUUCUCUAUCUUGUGCAUAUAGUCCUGUAGAAAAGAAGUUAUUACUUGAUGGCUUGGUGUGGAUGGAAAGAUCUGUUAUCCCCGGGAAUUAUAUGCAAAAUGGGCAGCUCUCCAAAUGCUACUCUACUCACUCUCACUCUGCCAGCUGAUUUCCCUGGGAAUUCCUGAGCAACAACUUUCAGAGAUAAAUUGACUCCCUGCGAUUGCAUCUGGUCCAUUGACCAACGACUCAGGGAGUUUACACCAGUUUAUCCCACCAGCUGAGCAUGAGAGACCCUUCUCACUACUUUGCUGGCAGUGCUGUUAACUUAGGAGAAGGACAAUUAACUACGCAGUCAAGGUUUUCGCUCUGAUUUAGUUGGUGGCAGAAAUUUCUGGUGAAAUUCAGGUGAAAGGAUGUGUCAUCAAUCAGAAUGAUCCUGGUGAAGAGAGACUGAUGUUGAGGAAAAACAGACAGCAGAAGUGCCUGGAACAAGAGGGACUUAAUACGUAACUGAAGAAAAGAAGACCUGGAAUAGGGACUGAACAUGCAGUAAUGAAAUAGACACAAACAGUUUUUAGUGUGAUCACCACAAGAAUCUCUUUAACAGAACUUACACAGCGAUCACGGGGAAGGAUUGUUUUCUUGACUUGAUUUAUGGGGAAGAAUUACAUUGUAUUGAGAAGAUUUUUUUAUUCCUAACGAUAAAGCCACUUAAAACGGUUUCAUUCCGGACCACAAUUGAUGUAAGUUUAAACGCAUCCUUUAACUAGCAUGGUAGAGACACUAUUAAACAUAUAUUAAGUUGCCCAUAUGCAAUUCACACUUGUGACUUUUCUCUGCCAUUCAUGAAUUAUGCAAUUAUCCCUAACUCAUGGAAAUGAAAGUGCAUUAACUGCCCAGUGUCAUGUAUUGUCUCUUUCCCUGUCCUUGUGCACACAUUUCCACAGUUCAUUAUUCAUGGAUGCAUCUAUUGCAAGUGUAAAUGUGCACAUAUAAUAUGGAAAUAGUCAUCCAUGGAUAAAGAGCAACUAGACACUAGUUUGUGAAGACAUACGUAUCUCAUUCCAAAAAACCCAAAAUUUCACAAGGAAUACCUCUACCCUUGUUAUGGAUGCCGCAUGGUAAACAAAACGGAUGCCAUCAUUACAAAGCAAAUGAGGGAUUGCUUCACACAGGAAAGGCUAUAGAUGUUGGUCUAUAAACCUGAAACUGAAUCCUUUCAUCUUUAACAACUCUUUUCCUAGCUCUUUCUCCCAUUAAAUUUUUUUUUCAUCGUUGAUUGAAAUCCCACUGGAACACUGUUCUAAAAAUAUUUGUACUUGCUGUUUCUCAUUCUUACCUUUCUUCCAUUCAUAUUAAGAUAUAAUUAUCAUGAUAGAAUUUCACUCCUAGAGAAGACAAUUACUGGACUAAACAGUUUGGAAGGAAUAAACAUAUGGUAUUGUUCCUGUUGAAUGUUAUGGUCACAUGGGUUGUUCCAAAUUCUGACUUGAGCAUCCUAACAGUGGGUCCCCGUUGGGAUAUGUUCUUCAGGAAGUUUCUCUGAUUUCGGUCAAGUUAGCAGUAAUGAGUCCUCACGUGUAAUAUUUGUGGUAGAGGGAAUUGUGAGGAUUCCUUCCAAUUUCUGCUAUUUCUAACAUAAGCAGGAUGUCCCUAUUGAAGUAAUUCUAAUGAAACAAUAAAUUUUAUCAGAUACUCAGAAUUUUAAUUUCUUUGGUAAAAUUUCUUAAAAAGGUUACUUCAAGCAAUGAAAGCAGGGUUUAAUGCUUAAGAAACCAAAGUAAAAUAUUUUCCCACAGUAUAGAUUUUAAGUUUAUUACAGAUAGUCAAAUAUCCAUAUCCAAAAUAUCUUUAAAAAUCUAUUUCGCCAAGACAGCCCAUUCGGUGUAAAUUAUGCCCUACAAAAUUAAUUGGAGAAUUUUUUUGGAAGAAAAACAAUUAUUCUUAAUCAUUUAUGAACAUUCUUUGUUAAGUGUUACUUAAAAUUAAAGUUGAAACAAUAGAUUUUACUGGCAUCUUUAUUGUACAUAAAGAUGAAUUACUUAAUGCCACACUAGCUAUGAUAGUUUUCUGAAAAAUACAACUUUUAUUCACUACCUUACAUGCUUCUCUUUUUGUUCAAUUCUUUUUCAAAGCAAAUUUAAAACCAACCAUCUUUGUUAUGCCUUAUGUUUAGAAGCUUAUAGAAUUUUCAGUGAAUAUUGUUAAAUAUUUUAAGUCAAGUAGACUAUAGUUUAAAUUCUGCUAUAUUUCUCAACAUACAAAUAAAUGUCAUGAUUCAAAAAUUUUAUAGAUACGGAUAAUAUAUAAGGAUUCUACAAAUUUUAAUUAGGCACCAUGUGACUGAAAAACAGAAAAGAAAAAUGCCAGUAAGUACAAAAUCAAUUUUAAAAUCAGAAAGAUGGUACUAGUGAACAGGUGAAGAUAUCCCAUAUUUCAAGUUGUAAUAUUUAGGGACUCCUUUCCUCCCUAGGAGUAAUUUUUCAAAAGGUCUAAUCACUACUAGAGUGUAACAGAAAUAAAACGUGUUAAUCUCUAACACACUGUAUUUUUUUAUGCAUGAAAGUUGCAAUUCACAGAAACACUUUAACCAAGGCAAUAAGCCUACCCAAGCAUAAUUUAGGAUAAAAGGAAGUUUUCAUGACUAUUCAGUAUAUUCUCUUACAUCAUAAAUAAGGUGUGACCAGCAGAAGGCACUGUUACAAUAAAUAUAUACAUAUAGCUGCUCAUUUGCAAACUGGCUGGGAAUUCUGAUGAGAGUUUUACUAACUUUUCAGAGCACAAAUCUUCUUUUCAUGAAGACCUUAAGUUAUACAUGUGUCCUAUAAAGAAAUAAAUUCAAAUUGCUGAACUGUCUUAUUUGGAAGAAAAAAAUCAUAUGCAGCAUAGAAGAGAGUUAUCCCUUCUUUCAAAAAAUGAGGCCCAGGUUAUUGGUGAGCCAAGAAAGGAUCAAAUAGAAGAAACCACAUAUAUCUUGGUUAUAAUUCAUCAUGGAUUUUUUUUUUUUUCUGUGUAAAGGGAUGUGGAAACUGGUAACUACAACAAGCCCUGCAAUAUUAUCUAUCAAGUGGAUCAUUCCAACUGAAGCAAAAUUAAAAUAUGAGAUUUUUGAAGUGUGAUUGACUGAUGGAUUGAUUAGAUACAUAGGUGGAUAGAUAUGAAAAUAUGUUUAGGGUACUCUAACAUGUCAAAACAUUUGUUCUUUUUUUAAUUGCCUUUGUUUUCUUUCUCUUCACAUGGAGCCAUCAUCUUCUCCAUCACGCCCUCUUCCCAAGAGUUUUAGUGAUAAGGGAAGAAAAGAAACUGGGCCAAGCCUAGAGAUAGGUGUCUGAAACCAUGCAACUGUCUAAUGAAACAACUGUCUUGAAACCAAAGGAAGAGACAUGCUUUUUCGGAAGAGAAUUUGACCCAUGCCUCUGGCUACACCUAUCGUGAAUUGUUGGCUAACAGAACUUUCACCUUUAAAAAUAUUAUUAUAGAACCCUCCCAUAAACUCAUUUGUUCUUUCAUGCAUCACAACUCUAAAGAAUGGUAUUACUGCAUGUAGAAUAUAAAUGUUUUAUGGAAAUAAAUAUUUUCAAAAUAUUCA